UCUUAAACAACAGUCCUUUAGAGUGGCUACGCGGUGUCAUUUCUACCAAAAGAGUCCAUGACCCGGAUACAAACCAAUUCCCAAAUCAGCUCUGUCGAAACCCUAGCUGACCGUUGUCCUUGCGAUUCACAAUCCUAAGAUGUUGUAAUCCUCGCCAUUUAUAUCCCAUCCGGGUUGGGUACAUUCCUUGGACCCAAAUGUAUUGCUCUUUCAGUUUCAGCUUCGGUUUCAAUCUAGGUAUUGCAAUUUUGGGGGUAAAUAAUAUAUUUUUUUUGUAGGAAUCAAGAAUGUGGAAAGAUCCCAUUAAUUAUAAUUUUGGAAAUCCUUUAUUGCAAUUUUCUACAUUGUAUAGAGACAGGCACAAAACAUUCUGCAAUAGCAAACUUACAUGGCUCCUUCUCUUCAGGAAACAAUCAUUUUCUUUCUUUUGUUUCAUCUCAGUUUUGUAUUAUUAAACUUUCACAUUUUUGUCUUAAUAAAAUGUAUGUAGUUGUUUGGUUACUUAAUAGUGCUUAUAUUUGGUGCACAGGGUGUAAAGCUGAAAAAGGAAAGGGACACAAUACAGUUGUAAUUUCAACGAAGAUAAAAUGGACAUGAAAAAGCAAAUGUAGUUGUAAGCAAUUGACUAGAAAACUAAAUUUGUUUAAGUUUUAGAGGUGAUAACCAAUGUCUAUUUGAAGAACAACUAGAAUUAGAUCUAUAAUCUCUUGCCAAGACCACAACUUUUGCUUUAAUGCAAGAUGAGUCAUUUUUUUUUGUGUGUGUGUGGGGGGGGGGGGGGAGCUUUAGAUGAAAUUGCUUCUUGCAUUAGCUGGCAUGUAAUUCAGGGGAAGAUGAGGUGGUUCUAAAUAGUAUUUUCCGUUUAUUCUAUAUGAGUCCUCAAACAUUCCAUGUGUUUCUCCUGAGUGGUGGUAGUGGUUUGCAAGGUUUGAAGCAUGUUAUGCCAUUGGUCGGUGUAAAGGAUCAUAUUGGUCUUUAAGUUUGGGACGUAAAGGCCACUUCACUUUCUAAAUGUGUGUUUGUGUGUGUCUGUAUCCUUAUAAUGGUAAAGGCGAGCCCUCUACAACAGAUGAUACAAGGAGAAAGUUAAUGCAGAUUAUUUCAGCAGAUAAGAUUCCACUGUUAUCUUCUGACUGAUACCUUUUUAUUUCUUUUUUCAUGACAUUUCUUAUCUUCCUCCGUAUUUCAUUUGAUAACAUUUGGUAUUUCUUUUUCAUGGCAUUUAUUCAAAUAAAGAGAUAAUUGAUGUUUCUUGAUAUACUCUAAGAUCUGAUUAGAUGCUCAUUUGGCCUUUUAUCUGGCUCUUUGUUUGGUGAACAAAUAAGAAUCACUAAAUAGACUAGUGUGUUUUUUAUAAAGGAGAUAGACUAGCGUCAAUGUACAAGGAGAUUACGUAGGCGAAUAUGGACUUUCAGCUUCCUGGUUGGGCACUACGCAAAACGGGAGGUAAAUAGAAUUAAAAAUAGGGUAUCUGAUCCAGUCCUGUCUAGAAAAUUGUUGGCCAGAUCAGGAAGUAUAAUCUCACAUAAAAUUCUGGAUAACUAAUUUACUAUUGCUAAUUUAGUUUCCGCAUAACUAGUACAACAUUUGGUCUCCGGUGUAAAAAUAUGCAUUACAAGUACAUCUUCUGUUGUGGUACUAAAAUAUGUAUAGCUAAUACCAACAUAAUUUAUGCGUGAAUCGAUGUAUUAUCUUGUGCGGGAUAGGAUAUGGAAAAUAAUAAUGUAUUAGCGAUACUUGGAUAAGAGUAUCUAGAAGCAUAAAUAAUGCUUUUAAAGUAGGCAAUUCCUGCAUAACAAUCAAUGUAGUAUUAUUCAUCUCAUAACAAUCUCGACAUUGUCAUUUACCGCAUAAAAAUCCUUUAUCAUGAUCCCUGCAUAAACUAGUCUGUGAACCAAAUGACCUCUCAAGGUACGAAUUGUGUAUGCCUAUUUCCUAUACGAAGACCUUGAGGACAUGCAACAAGUGGCAGUAAGGGUGACAUGUUUCUUGGAUGGAUGUCUCUCCAACUCUUUUAAACCAAGUAUUAUCAUAUUCGUAUUCGGAAUUAUUCUUUUCAUGAGAAUUGCUAUGUAUGCCAAAAAUGUGGUGGUCGGACUUUGUUAUGGUCUUAUCUAUCUUUAUCACAAACCAAGUGCAAUGACUGCUUAAUCUUUGAGGAGAUAUUGGCAUAUCGCAGUGUCAACCAGGUUGUACUCUUUGCUUGUUCUCUUGUCUGAGCCUAUUGUUUGCGAUUUUCUUACCCUUCAUAGGUGGUAUUAUUUGCUAUAGGGUGUAAAUAGGUAAUCUAUUGAUCUAUUUUCUUGUGAAUUUGUACUCCUGAUGUUAAGCCAAAUUUACGAUAAUGGUAGCUGGUAGUUUCCAUUCAUUACAUUUGAAAUCCUUAAUGACCGUCGACUUAGCUUGUAGAGUCACAUUAAUUAGGCACUCGUAUGAUAGUUAAAAGUAUAUUAAUUCAACCACAAUCAAUCUAGGAGGCUGCUAUAAUCUGUCAAUCUUAAUUCUUAAACAAGAAUAGAGAGAAUCACCUUUCUAGAGAUCACACACUUUAUAUCGUGAUUUUGGUGCCAAAAGUAGUAUUGGAAAGAUGUAGAAAUAAAUGGUAGCUUAAUAAUUCAGCAAUGUAAGUGCAGUUGUAAAGAAGGAAGAUAUGACCGUAUCUGCAUGCUACUUUGUCCCACAUCGUCUCAAAAGCAAGAAUUAAUUCCUUCGUUAUACCUAUUUAGCGGUCUCUAAUUAUGAACUUUUACACAUAGCUAUUGGGCCCGCUUAAGUGCGGGCCCUUGAUGGCUCACAUCACCUUGUAGUAAGGUCCCUUCCAAGAGUUGCAGUAUGCUGGAAAUCUUGUCCGUGAAUUUGCUGGCACCUAUGGAUUCAGUUUCCUUCAGCAUGCUCAUUCUGUCAUUCUGCCCUGGAAUGGUAUGGAAGUUGUUGCAGCAGCCUCUUCACAAAACUCUGUAUGCACACUCCUUGAUGACAAUGCAUGGAGGUAGCCCACAUUCACAACUGAGCAUUUGCACAUGAAGCAUCAGCUGACAGCUAACAUAUGCAAUUUUGCGCUUUCUCAUUUUCCCGGCUGUCAGCACCGCACCCGAGUUUCAAGCACCAAUCUGAUAAACAGACCUUUCUUGGAGAUUGAAGCAAGACAAAAGUUGGCUAGUGGCGCAGAAAAAAGCAAACACCAAGCUGAUAAACAACACCUUUCUAAAUGUAGAAUGCUGCACCAGAUUGUUAAGGUGUACUGUUAAAAAAUUGUUUUGGUCAUGUUCUUUGUUUUUUUGGUAACUCAUUUUCUUUUCUUGUUUGGAGAUUGAAGCAAGACAAAAAUUGGCUAAUGGCACAGUAUGCGCGCAUAUUAUAUACUUCUUUUGCUAUUUUGGCAUA